rnacentral:siRNA from 1 species
GGCUCCUCUUCUUCCUCCCUUUCU